UCCUGGUUAGCUCAAUUGGUAGAGCGACCACCCCGGAAAGCCGUUGGUCCCGGGUUCGAACCCCGGACCGGGAC
rnacentral:tRNA from 1 species